GAAAUAACUGUACAGUAAAUGUGACAUCUGUUGAUUCAACUGUAGAAUUUUGGGAGUAAGCAAUGCGUUUUUAAUUAAGCCAUACAGUUUAAUUUUGAGUUUUAGGGAUUUUAGCAAGGUAGACAACAUUAAGUUGGUGAACGAAAAUUUUCUCGAAACAACUCUUAAAGGAUUGAAUGUCUGAUAUAGGAUCGGAAAUUUAUAUUUUUACAACAAAAUAUCAAUUCAGCUGUAACAUUAUCCGAAUUUCACUCCGACGAAAGAUCUUACUCUUUUCUCAUAUUUACAAAGUUUUGGAAAUUUCUCCAAGCAACAGAAUUCAUUGUGUGAUUUUCUUCAAUACGAAAAAAAAAAUACUACUAGUGAUCAGUCAUUAUUGCGAGCGAAAGCCUAUAGAACACGUUUGGCUUAGAGAAAAUCAUGUAAUUUUCGACUAAAAAUAAUUGAUAGAUAUUCAGUCUGUGUCAUUUUGGUCUCUUGUGGACAGUUGUCUCAUUGGCAAUCAUACCACAUCUUCUUUUUUAUAUUUAAAAAUAUAUGAACAAUUACCAAGAUUAAACGGUUGGAAUUUAUUUUUUUAAUUUCAAUAAUUAUACAUAUAAUGAUACCUUAUUUUGUGGCUUAUGCGAGUUCUGAAUAAAUAUUUACAUGAAAGGUGUUUUGAACGUACUUCUUGGAAUUAAAGCUGUCUCGAGUGAAAAAAAUAUUUACAUCUCAUAUAAGUAUCAUGGAUUUUGAUUGCUUGAUAGCUAGUGUUUCGUGUAUUUUCUGAAAACAUUUUUGAAUGUUCAUACUUUCAUCAUCGCCGGAGUAUAUGCAUUUUUACCCUCUCUGUCCAGAAUUUGGCAAAACGUAUAUGCCGUUUUUAACCUUUAAAUGACGCUUGAUCUUUUGAGCGCUUUAUCAAAAGCGGGGUUGUUUUUACUAACGUCUUGAAGCAAACGAAUAAUGGAAGUGUAUUUCAAAUGUUUCACUUAACCACCUAAUAUUAUAACCAUCUAUAUUUGUAUUAAGUGCAAUUGAAAAGAUAUAAAAUGUUCAGGAAGAGUAUUUGCGAAAAAAUACCAGUCUUGAGAAGAAAUUCCUUCUUUUAACAUUUAUUGUUCGCAAAUAAUCCUCCUGAACAUAAUAUAUUUGUUUAUAAUUCAAUUCAGAGAUUCAUUUAUUUAUUUAGUUUAAUAUAAUCAAUAUUUAUUUACUUAUCGUUUAUGUAUGAUCGUUUAGGUAUCAACUGCAUCAGUUGGUGUCAGUUAAAUGCAUUUUAAUUCAAAAGUAAACUUUAUCAUCAAUAUAUUUUCCUAUUUAUAGUGCUUAAGCAUUUAUCAUUUCGAAAGUAUCUAACGUUUUAGUUGUGAAUCCUAUCAUAUACUUUUUCACACUCCAAGAACACGAAAUAAAGAAAUGAAUAAAUUCAUCUUUCCUUUGAAGGAAUCAUGUGACUAGCUCGUUUUAUACUUUAAAUUUAUAACGUUUUACAGGACCGUUAAAACUGUUCUUGCCGGUCUCCUAUUUGGUCGAAAUAUGAUAUACCGCCGGUCGAUGCAUUGUUUUUCUAAGUCAGAUGCUAUAUUCCAAUGAUUGCGAUUUCUAUGGUUUUCUUUGUAAACAAGGGUUCAUAAUAGAAUUUACGGAUUAAAUUUGGUGACAUGAUUAUGAACAAGUAAAUGUCCACUGAAAUGAAGAGUUGGCUCAUUGGCAAUCAUAUAGUGUAAUAGAUACUUUACUAGUCAUGUGGGUCGAUACUGCUUUCAUUUUAGGAGACGUGUUCUACAGAUAACAGAUGGUAUCGACAAACCAGGCGGAUUGGUUUGGGAAACAGUCCUCUGUUUAUUAUUUGUAUGGAUUAUGGUGUAUUUUUGUGUUUGGAGAGGAAUAAAGUGGUCGGGCAAGGUGAUCAAAUUCUUACCACUUGUAUAUCAGGGGAAGAUAACUUCUAAAUGUUACCGGUCUUUUAUUACUAUAUACUAUAAUUGUUAAAUUUCCUUCAAUCGGGAUUUUCCCCCACAUUUUCUUUUAGCUGCAUCUUCACAAAUUCAUAUAUGAUAUUUAAAUGAUUUAAUUGAAUUAUCAAAAAAUUCCAUUUGUGACUUUUUUCCCAACAAAUUAAAUUUUGUUUACAACGCGUUUGACUUGAAUGAAAAUCAUCUGGUAAAUCAUGCGGCUCUGAUAUAAGUGGAUACGAUAUGACGUGGUAUAUCGGGUACACUCGAGAACAAAAGACCAACUGUGUUACUAUACAGCUGUAGGAACCCACAUUAAUAUUUGAACCUUUUAAAGUGGGCAUUAGAAAUAAAAUUAAAAAAUCAGGACAGUCAAAACUUCAGAAUGUCAAUUUUCGACCAUCUUAAAGACGGUGUCUUUUCGGUUUUUUUCUCAUAAUAUACAAAGUUCUUAUUUCCCAUGUUUCAGGUAGUUUACUUCACAGCUAUAUUUCCUUACUUGGUACUGACUACACUGUUAAUUAGGGCAGUAACAUUAGAUGGUGCUAUCUAUGGGAUUAAAUAUUAUCUAAACCCAGACUUCAGUCGACUUUCUGACCCGCAGGUAAAUGAUAUAGUGAAAAAAGUAUCCCAAAUUGGUUUAUUUUUUAUAUAUAAACUGUUUUAAGUUAAAUACUCAAAUUAACAAACAAAAAACGCCAAAUCAUUUCAUCUGUCGGAUUUUGUAACAAAUGGUUGAUCUCGACAAUAUAACCUUCAAUAAAAAAUAAAGUUUUGACACUUAUGAUGGAAUGCACGAGACAGAUUGUCACGCUGGCAAGUUUCUCAGAGGAAUCAGUCCAAGGAAUAUCGCGGAUUAAUCCAAAAAUUGUUCGUAUACAUCGUGUGUGAUACAUUCCUCUAAGGCAUCAUUAAAUAAAAGUAAUAUAUAAAGGUAUCAUGUCUAAGGUAUGACAUAUUCCACUUAUGCAGUUAUCAUACUAUACUACAUGUCAGAAUCCUCUAAGACAUCACUGUAUACAGUUAUCAUACAAGACUAUAUAUAUAUGACAGAUUCCAAUAAGGCAUCAUUGUAUCAAGAAAUAGUGUAUGACAGACCCCCCUCCCUUUCCCCCUAUUGCUGUAUAAAGGUAGCAUACUACAUUACAUAACAGAUUCCUAUAAGGGACCAUUGUACUCAUGAAUCAUGUCUGACAGAUGUCACUAGGGCAUCAUUGUAUAUAAAGGCAUCAUGUCUGACAGAUUCCUCUAAGGCAUCAUUGUAUAAAGGCAUCAUGUCUGACAGAUUCCUCUAAGGCAUCAUUGUAUAAAGGCAUCAUGUCUGACAGAUUCCCCAAAGGCAUCAUUAUAUCAAAGCAUUGUGUCUUAUAUAUUCCUCUAAGGCAUCUUUGAAUAAAUUUAUUAUACAAUAUAUACUAUAUGACAGAUUCCUAUAAGGCAUCAUUGUAUUAAGGAAACGUGCAUGACAGAUUCCUCCAAGGCAUCGCUGUAUAAAAGGUAUCAUACUAUAUUACAUAACAGAUUCCUAUAAGGGAUCAUUGUACUCUUGAAUCAUUCCUGACAGAUUCUCCUAAGGCAUUGUUGUAUAAAGGCAUAGUGCAUAAAGUUAUUAUACAAUAUUAAUGACAGAUUCCCCUAAGGCAUCAUUAUGUCAAGAUAGAUUCUCCAAAUGCAUCAUAAUGUAAAGAUAUCAUGUGUGACCUGUUCCUCUAUAGCAGCAUUGUGUAAAGGUAUCAUGUAUUACAGAUUUCUCUGAGGCCACAUCAAAUAAAUUACUUGUUCUUUGGAAUCGCUCGCCCCUAAAAAUUCAGUUUCAAAGUAAAAAUAGAAAAUGCUCCUCUUGAUUUCUUCAAGAUUUCCCGCUUCAUUUUUAUUCAGUAUUACUGUAUGAAAUUUUUCAGUAAAUUUUACUUGUAUCUAUCAAUUUCUAUAUAGUUUCAAGUAAAAAUUUUAAAAAGUGUUAUCAGAUCUGGAUGAGAUCACCUCACCCCUGUUGACACAAAGAAGCUAGGAUGUUAUAAUGACAGAUUCCUGUUACUAAUACCUACCUAAAAUUUAUGUUAGUAAUUGGAGGAAACUUAAAAAAAUAAGUAAAUAAAACUAGAGGCUCUUAAGAGCCUGUGUCGCUCACCUUGGUCUAUGUGAAUAUUAAACAAAGGACGCAGAUGGAUUCAUGAAAAAAUUGUGUUUUGGUGAUGGUGAUGUGUUUGUACAUCUUACUUUACUGAACAUUCUUGCUGCUUACAAUUAUCUCUAUCUAUAAUGAACUUGGCCCAGUAGUUUCAGUGGAAAAUGUUAGUAAAAUUUACAAAUUUACAAAUUUUAUGAAAAUUGUUAAAAAUUGACUAUAAAGGACAAUAACUCCUUAGGGGGUCAAUUGACCAUAUUGGUCAUGUUGACUUAUUUUAAGGUCUUACUUUGCUGUACAUUAUUGCUGUUUACAGUUUAUCUCUAUCUAUAAUAAUAUUCAAAAUAAUAACAAAAAAACGGCAAAAUUUCCUUAAAAUUACCAAUUCAGGGGCAGCAACCUAACAACGGGUUGUCCGAUCAAUCUGAAGAUUUCAGGGCAGAUAGAUCUUGACCUGAUAAACAAUUUAACCCCUGUCAGAUUUGCUCUAAAUGCUUUGGUUUUUGAGUUAUAAGCCAAAAACUGCAUUUUACCCCUAUGUUCUAUUUUUAGCCGUGGCGGCCAUCUCGGUUGGAUGGCCGGGUCAUCGGACACAUUUUUCAAACUAGAUACCAAAAAGAUAAUUGUGGCCAAGUUUGGAUUAAUUUAGCCCAGUAGUUUCAGAGGAGAAGAUUUUUGUAAAAGAUUACUAAGAUUUACGAAAAAAUGGUUAGAAAUUGACUAUAAAGGGAAAUAACUCCUAAAGGGGUCAACUGACCAUUUCGGUCAUGUUGACUUAUUUGUAAAUCUUACUUUGCUGAACAUUAUUGCUGUUUACAGUUUAUCUCUAUCUAUAAUAAUAUUCAAGAUAAUAACCAAAAACAGCAAAAUUUUCCUUAAAAAUUACCAAUUCAGGGGCAGCAACCCAACAACGGGUUGUCCGAUUCAUCUGAAAAUUUCAGGGCAGAUAGAUCUUGACCUGAUAAACAAUUUUAUUCCGUCAGAUUUGCUAUAAAUGCUUUGGUUUUUGAGUUAUAAGCCAAAAACUGCAUUUUACCCCUAUGUUCUAUUUUUAGCCAUGGCGGCCAUCUUGGUUGGAUUGCCGGGUCAUUGGACACAUUUUUCAAACUAAAUACCCCAAAGAUGAUUGUGGCCAAGUUUGGAUUAAUUUAGCCCAGUAGUUUCAGAGGAGAAGAUUUUUGUAAAAGAUUACUAAGAUUUACGAAAAAUGGUUAGAAAUUGACUAUAAAGGGCAAUAACUCCUAAAGGGGUCAACUGACCAUUUCGGUCCUUUUGACUUAUUUGUAAAUCUUACUUUGCUGAACAUUAUUGCUGUUUACAGUUUAUCUCUAUCUAUAAUACUAUUCAAGAUAAUAACCAAAAACAGCAAAAUUUCCUUAAAAUUACCAAUUCAGGGGCAGCAACCCAACAACGGUUUGUCCGAUUCAUCUGAAAAUUUCAGGGCAGAUAGAUCUUGACCUGAUAAACAAUUUUAUUCCGUCAGAUUUGCUCUAAAUGCUUUGGUUUUUGAGUUAUAAGCCAAAAACUGCAUUUUACCCCUAUGUUCUAUUUUUAGCCGUGGCGGCCAUCUUGGUUGGAUUGCCGGGUCAUUGGACACAUUUUUUCAAACUAGAUACCCCAAAGAUGAUUGUGGCCAAGUUUGGAUUAACUUAGCCCAGUAGUUUCAGAGUUUCGUUAUUAAAUAAGAAUGCUACUAAUUGAUACUUACUCAAAAGUAAGAAAAUUAAUCAAAAUAAAACAAAAAAAAAAGUCAGACUUAAUUAUAAAUUAAAUUAUAUAUGUUUAAUUUUAAUCCAAUCUGAUACUAUGGUCACAGGUUUGGAUUGACGGCGGGAC
rnacentral:lncRNA from 1 species